rnacentral:lncRNA from 1 species
UCAUUCAACCAUUGACUCCCAAUGAGGCUGCACAAAGGACAAAGGAAUCAGCCAAGGAAAUUGUUGCUGUCAAGAAGUUCAUCGAGAAGAAGGCUUGGCCUUUUGUUCAGAACGAUCUGCGUCUUAGGGCCGAGUAUCUUCGCUAUGACCUUAACACUAUCAUCUCUUCCAAGCCGAAAGAAGAGAAGCAAUCCCUCAAGGAACUUGCUGGAAAACUUUUCCAAGAUAUCAACAAUGUAAGUUCACAAACUAAGACAAUCAUAUAGGACUUCUUUUAUGGUUUUAAAUUGCACUUAUGAUUUUGCGUUUAAGGAAAUUUUGGGCAAAUGCGGUUGCAACUGUGAUCACGAUAGCAACCAAAAUCGCAAUAUUGUGGCCGUGAUUGCAGUUGUGAAUGACAAAUUCGAAAACUCGGGCUCUUUGUCAGUUUAGUAGAGUAAUUACUGGUUCUAAUUUUGAUUUUGGUAUUUUGUUUAACAGUUGG